rnacentral:lncRNA from 10 species
CAGUUUGGCUUCCCUGUUCUGGGUGGCAAAGCCUGUGGAGUACUCACCUACCUGCUGCAUGAAGGCAGCAUGGAGGGACUGUGGUGGAUUAUCUGCAAAGAUGGCCAAAAUUCUCUCAUCCCUGCAGGCACAUACAAGAAGAACUGAAGCUCAGCUCUUCACCCUACAGAAAGCCUGAAUUUUGUAAAUGUUCUGCUUAGAAUGAGGAAGAAAGAUGAAGAAUGAGGAGGAAGAAGGAAGGAACGAGAGAGAGGUAAAGCCAACAAGCAGAACAGACCUACAUUUGCAGCAUCUCCAAGUUUCUGCAACAGCAUUAUGUUGUUGUUAUGUUUUGUUUUAAUAAAAGCACAUACCAUUU